UCAUUUCUUGUUACAUUAACACUUCCAUUCUAUGUCAAUGUCUUCUCUAUCUUUCAAAAAACAAAACCUAAAAAACUUCUCAUACACAAAUGCACACGCAAUGGUGGUGUCUGAUUAAUUACUGAGAUCUUAUGGCACCACUUCCAUUUUAGUACUGUUUAUAGUUCAUAUUUGCACUUGCUAGAUUACGCAUCUUUUUUACUAAUGCUUCAUUCUAUGUCAAUGCCUCUUCUCUCACAAAAAGAAAAAAAUACAAAAAAACUUCUCAUACACAAAUGAACACACUUCCCUUUUAGUACUGUGUAUAGUUCAUGUGCACUUGCUAUUGCACAUCUUUUUUGUACCUUUCUGCCUGUAAUAGGACAUUCACAGAUUGUUUUUGUUCCUGCCAUUGAAACAUUCACUGUGUGCACUUUCACUGAAGGAGAUGUUGAAAAAACAAGUUGUUAAUAUUUUGUGAUAUUCUAUGUAAAAUAUUAACUGUCUUUAGAAAUGUUCAUUUAGAAUUUUAUUUAUUUAUUUAUUUUUCCAAUUAAGGCAAAGUGUCAGGUCUUCAGCUCUCCUCCUGAUGCUCCUUGACAAAAUAAAUUGGCCGUCAGAGGACAGCAAUAGCGAAGAUGACGAUUUCGACAUUGAAACCAUUUGUCGUAUUACUGGUUUCCUGCGGACAUUCAUUGAAACAGCAUCUUCCGAUUCACUCAUACAAAUCCUGAAGUUUUGGGUGGGGUGGGAAACCAUCACCACUGAACUUAAUGUUGAGCUAUCAGAAGGACGAUUUAUAACAUCCGCUACCUGUUUCGAGACACUACGGAUACCUGCACAAUACACACACUACACUGACUUUCAAACUGCACUUGCUGCUGCUAUUAGCAGCACUUGUACAGGAUUCCGACUUCUCUAAUACUUAAAAAAAAGCCUAACAAUUCAAUAUGUAAAAUAUAUUAAUAACAACAAUGACAACAGUGUGUUUUCAUGAAUUUACAAUAUGUUAUUUGUUUAUAAAUGAAAUGUAAUAUUU